AACAAUCAAAUGGUGUCGGCGCCGUCACACUCUGAAGUUGAUGACGCGUUUUUGUAUUUGUGUCUGUCAAAGUCACCUGCGAUCUCAUAACCUGCCCGGUCAAUUGUAAUAACCUGAAGGUGCCGUUCAACGUGCGGACCAAACCUGCGCUCCGCCUUCACCCCCCACCUCCCCGCAGUGCGCGUUCCCGCUGAUCUCAAAGCGCAGCACCGGACUAAACCAGUCGGGCACUCCGUGAAGCGCGCUUGUCACACUGAGACUUAGCGGAGUGAGCGUCACGUGAAUAGCCGUCUGCUUCCAGUCGAGGCUCAGUCGGUGCUGCGAUCUCAAAGUGUCCGCCAUUAACACAAGACGGGCUGAGACAGUCCACGGUUAUGUGCGCACACUCGGGAGAUUUAAGGAGCGCCGAGAAACGAUAAAGGAGAACAUCAGUGAUGGAGACACCGAGGAGAGAGCGACAUCUACAGAGUUUGCCUUUUGUGCUGGUGAAGUGAUUGUUACCUCAUGCCCACUCACAUGGACAUCCCACUACAGUCCUGAAUUUCCACCAUUUGUAGAUAUUUUAUUCUUACCAUGGAUUGAUGAACACCCAGGUCUUCAGCAAUGCCUGUGUAGCCUUUUCCAAGUUCCUGCAUUUCUAUGAUGAGUCUUCUAAGUUCCUGUGACAUUUGUUUGGAUUGAGACUGAUGAUGACUGAAGCCCAGCUGUUUGUUUCACAGGAC